CAGUAGCCACGGGAAUACGAAGGGGGCUAGCGUUGCUCGGAAUUACUGGGCGUAAAGGGAGCGUAGGCGGGUCGUUUAGUCAGAGGUGAAAUCCCGGGGCUCAACCUCGGAACUGCCUUUGAUACUGGCGACCUUGAGUAUGGGAGAGGUGAGUGGAACUCCGAGUGUAGAGGUGAAAUUCGUAGAUAUUCGGAAGAACACCAGUGGCGAAAGCGACUCACUGGCCCAUUACUGACGCUGAGGCUCGAAAGCGUGGGGAGCAAACAGGAUUAGAUACCCCGGUAGUCCCUGUCUCUUAUAC
rnacentral:rRNA from 1 species